GACAGAGGGUGCAAACGUUGUUCGGAAUUACUGGGCGUAAAGCGCGUGUAGGCGGCCCGGCAAGUCGGAUGUGAAAGCCCUGGGCUUAACCUAGGAAGUGCAUUCGAAACUGCUGGGCUUGAGUUCUGGAGAGGAAGGCGGAAUUCUCGGUGUAGAGGUGAAAUUCGUAGAUAUCGAGAGGAACACCGGUGGCGAAGGCGGCCUUCUGGACAGUGACUGACGCUGAGACGCGAAAGCGUGGGGAGCAAACAGG
rnacentral:rRNA from 1 species